rnacentral:misc_RNA from 1 species
UGAUGACCUAGACAACACACUACAGUUGUAAUAAACAUGUACCAUUUGUCUGUAGAGAUUUUUGUGGGGUACUUGGUCUGAUGGCAGUGAUGAUCACCUAGACAACACACUACAGUAGUACAGAGAACUGGUGUCGGCCAUGCCGGGCCUGUCCCCGUGGAUGUUUGGCUCGUCCGUGGACCACUGGAGGGACUGGAACCCCUUUGAGAAUGUGGCCAACAAAUCUCACCCCAACAAUAACUGUUCUGUUCAGUGGCCAUGGCUGAUCCUCCGAGACUGUGUCCAUGACAACCAGGGUGUGGCCUCCGACAUCCUUGGCCUUGUGUCCCUUGUGUCCUGGAUGAUCGUCAGUAUUCCACAAAUGGUGAUGAAUUGUCGGAAUAUCCGUGGAGUGGAGGGUAUAUCUUUCUUGCUUAUUCUACAGUGGACCCUGGGAGAUGCCACUAAUCUCAUUGGUUCUAUCCUGACCAAUCAGCUGCCAUUACAGAUUUACUUGGCUAUUUAUUUUGUGUUUGCUGACAUCGUGUUGUUUUGUCAAUUCCUGUAUUACCACAUAUGGAAGUGGAACCGCUCUAAAUUGGACAAGGAAGCCCAGCCUAGCGGCCCCGCCCGGAUAGUGCUGUGUUUUACCGGUGCUUUCCUCUCCGUCAGCUCUGUAGGAACCCUGAUGUCCAGGUUUAGUGGGGUACCAGACAUCCCCAGGGGUACUGUACAUAUACCAAGGCCUGGCAGUAGACAACUCUUGUCAGCCAAUCUUACACAUGUCCAGUUCUUCAAAAACAUAAGAGACGAGUCUGGCUAUGCCAUUGGAAUAGUAUCAAGUAUAUUCUACAUUGGGUCUCGCCUUUCACAGCUGUACAAAAAUUACAAGAGGAAGUCGACCGAGGGUCUGUCAGUAAUGAUGUUUAUUCUGGCUGUACUGGGGAACAUCACGUAUGGUUUGUCCAUCCUGGUGCGGUCACUGGACGGAGAGUUUGUCCUGCACCACCUUCCCUGGCUAAUCGGCAGUCUGGGAGUUAUCUUCCUUGAUUUGUCGCUGCUGUGUCAGUUCAAGUACUAUGGUGUGAGGGACUUUGAUACUCUCGCAAAUCAGCCACUGUUGAACAGUGAGGUGAUGAACCAGGCCUCCCCCCUGGACUACACUGAGGCGAGGGUAGAACCAAAUGGGCUCAUCAACUGAGUGGACUGGCAGUUCUGCUUUGACAAGUCGGGGCCUCAGCUGAGAACCAGAGGAGCCAACUAUCCAAUGGAAACCAAUGUAAUAUCAGCGGUGAAACAGUGGCACAUCGGCUACACUGGGCUUCUAAGGCGUUAUUUAGGCUAAUAAAAAAGUGUGUGUCCUGUACAAUGCUACAUGUAUAACUAUAAGGUUUUUGGUUAACCCUUUCAACCCUAUGUAACUUUAAUAAACUCUGCCAUGCAUUGAUCUUGAUAAGUCCAUUAUGGUCUACAGUGGUGAAAGGGUUAAGGCAUGGAUUAAUAAUAUAGUGGAUGUAAUGGGAGGAAAAAAUUUUGAUUCAAACUCUAUAAUACCUCAAUGGAUGGAAAGCUAAUGACAAAUUAACAGUUGAUCAUGUGUUAACAACAUUGAAACCUGUAUUGGACCAACAUUACUGUAAUUAGAAUUUUUUUCUGCUUGGCAUGAUUCUGUAGGGUUAGCUGUGUUACAGGAAACACACCUAUUCUUGUAUUCGGCCUUAUUGAGAACCCAUAGACUCAAAAGAAAAAAAAGAUGAAUCCUAAUGACCUGAUUAACUUACAACCCAGGUAGAAUACUGGACACUAACAAGUCUUUCAUUAAAUAACACAGGAGAUGGGGAUACGAGGGGGAACUCACAGACACAAGGCGGAACUCACAGAUACAAGGGGGAACUCACAGACACAAGGGAGAACUCACAGACACAAGGGAGAACUCACAGACACAAGGGGGAACUCACAGACACAAGGGAGAACUCACAGACACAAGGGGGAACUCACAGACACAGGGAGGAACUCACAGAUACAAGGGGGAACUCACAGACACAAGGGGGAACUCACAGAUACAAGGGGGAACUCACAGACACAAGGGUGAACUCACAGACACAAGGAGGAACUCACAGACACAAGGGGAAACUCACAGACACAAGGGGGAACUCACAGACACAAGGGGGAAUUCACAGACACAAGGGGGAACUCACAGACACAAGGGGGAGCUCACAGACACAAGGCGGAACUCACAGACACAAGGGAGAACUCACAGACACAAGGGGGAACUCACAGAUACAAGUGGGACCUCACAGAUACAAGGGGGAACUCACAGACACAAGGGGGAACUCACAGACACAAGGGAUAACUCACAGACACAAGUGGGACCUCACAGAUACAAGGGGGAACUCACAGAUACAAGGAGGAACUCACAGACACAAGGGGGAACUCACAGACACAAGGGAGAACUCACAGACACAAGGGAGAACUCACAGACACAAGGGAGAACUCACAGACACAAGGGGGAACUCACAGAUGCAAGGGGGAACUCACAGAUACAAGGGGGAACUCACAGACACAAGGGGGAACUCACAGAUGCAAGGGGGAACUCACAGAUACGAGGGGGAACUCACAGACACAAGGGGGAACUCACAGACACAAGGGAGAACUCACAGACAAGGGGGAACUCACAGACACAAGGGGGACCUCACAGACACAAGGGAGAACUCACAGACACAAGGGGUAACUCACAGACACAAGGGGGAACUCACAGACACCAGGAGGAACUCACAGACACGAGGGGGAACUCACAGAUACAAGGGGGAACUCACAGACACAAGGGGGAACCCACAGACAAGGGGGAACUCACAGACACAAGGGGGACCUCACAGACACAAGGGAGAACUCACAGACACAAGGGAGAACCCACAGACACAAGGGGGAACUCACAGACACAAGGGGGACCUCACAGACACAAGGGAGAACUCACAGACACAAGGGGUAACUCACAGACACAAGGGGGAA